rnacentral:rRNA from 1 species
UAUGGGGGGGGCAAGCGUUGUUCGGAAUUACUGGGCGUAAAGGGCUCGUAGGCGGCCAACUAAGUCAGACGUGAAAUCCCUCGGCUUAACCGGGGAACUGCAUCUGAUACUGGAUGGCUUGAGUUCGGGAGAGGGAUGCGGAAUUCCAGGUGUAGCGGUGAAAUGCGUAGAUAUCUGGAGGAACACCGGUGGCGAAGGCGGCAUCCUGGACCGACACUGACGCUGAGGAGCGAAAGCCAGGGGAGCAAACGGG